rnacentral:rRNA from 1 species
GAUGAACGCUGGCGGCGUGCCUAAUACAUGCAAGUCGAGCGAACGGACGAGAAGCUUGCUUUUCUGAUGUUAGCGGCGGACGGGUGAGUAACACGUGGAUAACCUACCUAUCAGACUGGGAUAACUUCGGGAAACCGGCGCUAAUACCGGAUAAUAUUUUGAACCGCAUGGUUCAAAAGUGAAAGACGGUGUUGCUGUCACUUAUAGAUGGAUCCGCGCUGCAUUAGCUAGUUGGUAAGGUAACGGCUUACCAAGGCGACGAUGCGUAGCCGACCUGAGAGGGUGGGCGGCCGCACUGGGACUGAGACACGCUACAGUCGCCCACGGGAGGGAGCAGGAGGGAAACGGCCGGCAGGGGCGGAAACUUGACGGAGCAACGCCGCGUGAGUGAUGAGGGUCUUCGGGUCGUAAAACUCGGUUAUUAGGGAAGAACAUAUUUUUACGUGACUCUGCACGUCUGGACGGGAACUAGUCAGAAAGCCACGGCUAACUACGGU